AUUGAACGCUGGCGGCGUGCCUAACACAUGCAAGUCGAGCGGUAACGCGGGAGCAAUCCUGGCGACGAGCGGCAGACGGGUGAGUAAUGCUUGGGUAUCUGCCCAAUAGUGGGGAAUAACCAGUCGAAAGACUGGCUAAUACCGCAUAAGCCCCCUCUUCUUCGGAAAAGGGGGGAAAGCGGGGGAUCGCAAGACCUCGCGCUAAUGGAUGAGCCCAAGUCGGAUUAGCUAGUUGGUGAGGUAACGGCUCACCAAGGCGACGAUCCGUAGCUGGUCUGAGAGGACGACCAGCCACACCGGAACUGAGACACGGUCCGGACUCCUACGGGAGGCAGCAGUGGGAAUAUUGGACAAUGGGGAAACCCUGAUCCAGCGACGCCGCGUGUGUGAAGAAGGCCUGCGGGUUGUAAAGC
rnacentral:rRNA from 1 species